CACGGGGGGGGCAAGCGUUGUUCGGAAUUACUGGGCGUAAAGGGUUCGUAGGUGGCCAACUAAGUCAGACGUGAAAUCCCUCAGCUUAACUGGGGAACUGCAUCUGAUACUGGUUGGCUUGAGUGCAGGAGAGGAACGCGGAAUUCCAGGUGUAGCGGUGAAAUGCGUAGAUAUCUGGAGGAACACCGGUGGCGAAGGCGGCGUUCUGGACUGCAACUGACACUGAGGAACGAAAGCCAGGGGAGCAAACGGG
rnacentral:rRNA from 1 species